rnacentral:rRNA from 1 species
UUCCCGACUCCUACGGGAGGCAGCAGUGGGGAAUAUUGCACAAUGGGGGAAACCCUGAUGCAGCGACGCCGCGUGAGCGAUGAAGUAUUUCGGUAUGUAAAGCUCUAUCAGCAGGGAAGAAAAUGACGGUACCUGACUAAGAAGCCCCGGCUAACUACGUGCCAGCAGCCGCGGUAAUACGUAGGGGGCAAGCGUUAUCCGGAUUUACUGGGUGUAAAGGGAGCGUAGACGGCUGUGCAAGCCAGAUGUGAAAGCCCGGGGCUCAACCCCGGGACUGCAUUUGGAACUGUGUGGCUGGAGUGUCGGAGAGGCAGGCGGAAUUCCUAGUGUAGCGGUGUAAUGCGUAGAUAUUAGGAGGAACACCAGUGGCGAAGGCGGCUUACUGGACAGUAACUGACGUUGAGGCUCGAAAGCGUGGGGAGCAAACAGGAUUAGAUACCCCCGUAA